rnacentral:rRNA from 1 species
GACGAACGCUGGCGGCGUGCUUAACACAUGCAAGUCGAACGAUGAAGCGGUGCUUGCACCGUGGAUUAGUGGCGAACGGGUGAGUAAUACGUGAGUGACCUACCUUUGACUCUGGGAUAAGCCUGGGAAACUGGGUCUAAUACCGGAUACGACCAAUCUCUGCAUGGGGUGUUGGUGGAAAGCGUUAUGGAGUGGUUUUAGAUGGGCUCACGGCCUAUCAGCUUGUUGGUGAGGUAAUGGCUUACCAAGGCGACGACGGGUAGCCGGCCUGAGAGGGUGACCGGCCACACUGGGACUGAGACACGGCCCAGACUCCUACGGGAGGCAGCAGUGGGGAAUAUUGCACAAUGGGCGCAAGCCUGAUGCAGCGACGCCGCGUGAGGGAUGACGGCCUUCGGGUUGUAAACCUCUGUUAGCAUCGAAGAAGCGAAAGUGACGGUAGGUGCAGAGAAAGCGCCGGCUAACUACGUGCCAGCAGCCGCGGUAAUACGUAGGGCGCGAGCGUUGUCCGGAAUUAUUGGGCGUAAAGAGCUUGUAGGCGGUUGGUCGCGUCUGCUGUGAAGGCCGGGGCUUAACUCCGGUUUUGCAGUGGGUACGGGCUAACUAGAGUGCAGUAGGGGAGACUGGAAUUCCUGGUGUAGCGGUGGAAUGCACAGAUAUCAGGAGGAACACCGAUGGCGAAGGCAGGUCUCUGGGCUGUAACUGACGCUGAGAAGCGAAAGCAUGGGGAGCGAACAGGAUUAGAUACCCUGGUAGUCCAUGCCGUAAACGUUGGGCACUAGGUGUGGGGGACAUUCCACGUUUUCCGCGCCGUAGCUAACGCAUUAAGUGCCCCGCCUGGGGAGUACGGCCGCAAGGCUAAAACUCAAAGGAAUUGACGGGGGCCCGCACAAGCGGCGGAGCAUGCGGAUUAAUUCGAUGCAACGCGAAGAACCUUACCAAGGCUUGACAUGCAUUAGAUCGCGUCAGAGAUGGCGUUUCCCUUCGGGGCUGGUGUACAGGUGGUGCAUGGUUGUCGUCAGCUCGUGUCGUGAGAUGUUGGGUUAAGUCCCGCAACGAGCGCAACCCUCGUUCUAUGUUGCCAGCGGUUCGGCCGGGGACUCAUAGGAGACUGCCGGGGUCAACUCGGAGGAAGGUGGGGAUGACGUCAAAUCAUCAUGCCCCUUAUGUCUUGGGCUUCACGCAUGCUACAAUGGCCGGUACAGAGGGUUGCGAUACUGUGAGGUGGAGCUAAUCCCUUAAGGCCGGUCUCAGUUCGGAUUGGGGUCUGCAACUCGACCCCACGAAGUCGGAGUCGCUAGUAAUCGCAGAUCAGCAACGCUGCGGUGAAUACGUUCCCGGGCCU